rnacentral:rRNA from 1 species
UUAAAUUGAAGAGUUUGAUCAUGGCUCAGAUUGAACGCUGGCGGCAGGCCUAACACAUGCAAGUCGAACGGUAACAGGAAGCAGCUUGCUGCUUYGCUGACGAGUGGCGGACGGGUGAGUAAUGUCUGGGAAACUGCCCGAUGGAGGGGGAUAA